rnacentral:rRNA from 1 species
UACAGAGGGGGCAAGCGUUGUUCGGAAUUACUGGGCGUAAAGGGCGCGUAGGCGGCCUUCUAAGUCGAACGUGAAAUCCCCGGGCUCAACCCGGGAACUGCGUCCGAUACUGGAAGGCUUGAAUCCGGGAGAGGGAUGCGGAAUUCCAGGUGUAGCGGUGAAAUGCGUAGAUAUCAGGAAGAACACCGGUGGCGAAGGCGGCCCACUGGUCCGGUACUGACGCUGAGGUGCGAAAGCGUGGGGAGCAAACAGG